AGUUGAAUUCUGUAAGCAGGUCUUGAUCACUUUCUUUUUAUCCCAGCAGUAUAAAUUUAAGCAAUGCACAAUAUCUUUUUUCUUCCUUCGAUAAGGUAAUGUAAAAUGCGAAAUAUGAAGAUCUGCUUAUUCUUUGAGAUGAAAAAGCUCCCCACUAGACACAGUAUAGGAGUGUUUUCUCUGAACGGCAUGGGCCAACGCGUAUAAGCUUGGGCAUUCUUAACAUGGCUCAUUUGAUGAUAUAUCAUUUGGAUGGACUCAGAUCCUUUCAUGUAGGAGAGUCUUUGAUGGGCUUUGAAUUUGGAUAGAUCCAGCGGGCCUUCUUGCGUGGACUUGGGCUUGCUUUGAUGAUGAGUAGGCUUGUUGUGCUUUGGCCCUUCUGUGGGCUUUUAUCGAGGAAAGCAGGCUUGAUAGGGCCAAGUCUUCAUUUGUAGGACUUUGAUGGUUCAUGUCAUUCAUGUAGGCUUGGGUCUUUCAUUCGGGCCCUAUUGGGGCACCCUGUGGGCCAAUGCGUAUAAGCUUGGGCUUUCUUAACGUGGCUCAUUUGACGACUCAGUACAUGGAUGUCACGAAUCUAUUGGCAUAGAAUAUGGAAUCUUUUCUACGUAAGCUGGUUAAAGAUGCAAAAAGUCUCGAUGUUAUAUAUCUUGGCAUUUUGAAAUUAAAGAGACAAGAAGUACAAUUGUAAACCAAAUGAGAAGCAAUAUUCAUAGUCGGUGCUUGGCAUUGUUUCCAUUUCAUA
rnacentral:lncRNA from 1 species